UACGGGGGGAGCAAGCGUUGUUCGGAUUUACUGGGCGUAAAGGGCGCGUAGGCGGCCAGCGCAAGUCAGUUGUGAAAUCUCCGGGCUUAACCCGGAACGGUCAACUGAUACUGCGCGGCUAGAGUGCAGAAGGGGCAACUGGAAUUCUCGGUGUAGCGGUGAAAUGCGUAGAUAUCGAGAGGAACACCUGCGGCGAAGGCGGGUUGCUGGGCUGACACUGACGCUGAUGCGCGAAGGCGUGGGGAGCGAACGGG
rnacentral:rRNA from 1 species